GAAACGCUGCUUUGCAGGCAAGCCUGCCGCGGUGGGUUUCUUCUGCACGGCGGCGCUCGGCGAUGGAGGGGUCUCGGGCCGGCCCCAGGGAAGUUUGCAGCGGGAUGAAUCCGUGACGGGACAACUUUGGGGACCACGCUGCGGAUGGGCUCGUGGGAGCAGCUGCUGAACUAAGGACACGCGUCUCUCUUUCCACGCGCGGGGGGCAUGUUUGUGCUGCUGGACUCUUGUUACUCACGGGGGGGAUUGUAAAACCACCUUGACCCCCCCUUCCUCUUCCUCCUUCUAAUUAAUUUAACCGAAGCAAAGGUCUGAAAUCGUGCUGAGUUGUGGAGUCUGCUGCAGGAGGGGUUGCUUGCGUGCCCGGCUCCAGAAUCGGCUUCGCCUCUCGUAAUGGAUUACCUGGAAGCGUGGCUCCGGAUUGCGCUCCUCUUUGCUGGAUUUACCGUAUUGCCUCGGCAGCAGGCGGAGGGUGCUUGUGUCUACCAAGGCUCGUUGUUUGAGGUAGGUGAACCUUAAUAUGUUUCCUGGUUACAUUGAGGUUGAUAGGCUGCACUUGUGGCACUGACAAAACUUGUUGAGUCAUAUGACUUCCGUGGCACAAAUGGUAGUGAUGCUUUCAUUAAUAUGCAAUGGGGUGAAAUCCUGGCCCCGCUGAAAUCCAUUGCAAAAUUCCUAUUGACUUCAGUGGAGUCAAGAUUUCACCCAUGGUCUUUGUCAACCCAACCAGGCUACUGUUGAGCAAGACUCCGGGCAUGUUUACAAAUCUGGCUCUUUGUUUGUCCUGUGCAUUUUAAACAAUGUGAUUCAGGAAUGUGCAAAACAAGACAGGCCAGCUAGUGUUAUCUAAAAUCUUCCUGUAUAUUCUGCAGGUAUUUGAUGUUUUGCUAUAAGUGAUGAUUGUUUAACACUUUUCUUCUGGAAAACUUCAUAUUCAUUGUGUGCUGUGACUUCUCCUUUUUUAAACUAAAAGUAUGACUUUUGCAUUUUUUUGCUGUGACAAAACCAUGAUUUCUCCAUUUGAUUGUCAUUUUUCACAAUUGCAAAUAAUCCACCUUAAUCAUUGGGCAGAUAUGUGACGUCGGGAAUCUCAUGCAAAUAGUACUUUUCCAUACGAUACUUGGCUGUCUCAAUUUGAUACUCAAACAGUAAAAAUAAAUUGACAAGAACAUUGGUCCUGAAGUGCUUA
rnacentral:lncRNA from 1 species